UUGAGUACCCCUCAACCCAAAGCGCUCCUCUGUUCAUUCCCCUUCCCCCGCGUCGAUCCCACACCGCUACCCCUGGUCGCCGACUCGCCGUCGCUCUCCCCCUGCGGCCACCAGGCUCUCCCCCUGUAUCCUCGUGCAGCUCCCCGACGACUCUUCGCACGGCGGAGCUCGCUCCAUCCACCUCGAGCACAUCCUGUUCGAUGAAAUGCCCAGCUCGUUGUCCCUUGUUUCUCCAGUCGUAUCCGCAACUGCACACAUGAUACAUAUUUAGCAGACUCGAUUGAGUAAGUCGGAGUUGCUCAUUUACAGUACGGAUUCAUUUCUUUUUCCUUGUCACUGGAUUGCUGUUGUAUGUACACUCUGAGUUAAUAAGGAUUGGGUUGGUAGCAUACAAGUGAGAUGGCAUUUAAGGUGUUAGGCCGAAUAAAUCUGCAUGCACUUUCCCUCCGCCUGCACAUGCUGGAUGAGGUGUUCUGUUGCGGCCCCUUCAACUGUAGCAUGCAGAGGAGGUGGAAGAAGCCAGUGGAUUCGGCGCGGACUCGUCUGGAGGGCAGAACGAGAGACCAUAGGCUGGACAAGCUGAUGAUUCAGCUCAGGAACUUGAGGCAGGCUUUGGAUUUGCACGAGGUGAUAUCUCAGCAGAGGAACGGCUACGCAUCUCUCCAGCUCCUUUUGAGGUGGAGGCGUGAGAUUGGGUUGAACAUUGAGAUCGGUGCUUUCCUCAAGAAAUACCCCCAUAUUUUCGAGAUUUAUGUGCACCCCGUCAAAAGGAACCAUUGUUGUAGGGUCACCCCAAAGAUGGCUGAUUUGGUCGCAGAAGAAGAUGCUGUCGUCAGGGAGAACGAGCCCGCCAUAGUUCAGCGGCUGAAGAAACUUCUCAUGAUGUCUACGAAUGGAACUCUGAAUAUGCAUGCGAUCUGGCUCAUCAGGAAGGAGCUCGGUCUGCCCGAUGACUACAGGUCUUCUAUACUGCCAAACCAUCAGUCUCAGUUUUCUCUUGAAAUCCCUGAUACUUUGACAUUGAUCUCUAGGGACGAGAAUCUAGCUGUAGCUAAUGUCGAAAAAUGGAGGGAGAAGGAGUAUACAGAGAAAUGGCUAGCAGAAUAUGAGACAAAAUAUGCUUUUCCAAUUAACUUCCCUACUGGAUUUAAGAUUGAGAAAGGAUUUAGGGAAAAGCUUAAGAAUUGGCAGAGGCUUCCUUAUACCAAACCUUACGAGGAAAACGGUUUGCAUCCAAUCAGCAAUGCUGAGCGGCUUGAGAAACGCAUUGUUGGUAUUAUUCAUGAGCUUUUAAGCUCGACAGUAGAAAAGAUGAUUCCACUUGAGAGGCUGGCACACUUCAGGAGACCUUUCUCUAUGGAGGUAAACAUGCGGGAACUUCUUCUUAAGCACCCUGGCAUUUUCUACAUUUCGACCAAAGGAAGCACACAAACAGUGCUUCUUAGGGAGAGUUACAGUAAAGGAUGUCUGGUUGAGCCUAACCCUGUUUAUAGUGUCCGAAGGAAAAUGCUAGAUCUCAUAUUGUCUGGAUGUCGUAACAUUGGUGAAACUGAAAAGGUAACUUGGCUCGUUGAGGAGGACAAUCAAGGAAGCAGUCAUGGGCUACAUAAUCACACAUGGCCGGUGGAUAGCAUGAAUUCCAUGUUGCAGUUUGAAAGUGACUCCUGUGGAGAAGAGGUAUCUUCUUGUGACUUGCGCGAAAGUAAGAUUCAAUGAAGCUAUGCAGUAACAGGACAAGGUGCUCUCUGAAGUAGUUGUGAAACUGGGCUUCCUAAAUUUUGUACCCAAAAAACUCCCAUCAGAGCAAGUAACAGAGAGGUAAUGGCCAAUGCAUCCUCAAGAUUCAGUUUCUCAAAGUUCACCAAGGAGAGAGUUCCCCUACCUGAAUAUUUAAUUGACCAUGUCAAAGUUAUGCAAACACAGAGGGUUGGUGAGCAGGGAUACAGGGUUGAAAAGAAAUUAAGAGGUGCCAUCUGGCUGGACAGUGACUGCCUCAUCGGAAAGAAAUGUCUCAAGAUUAUGUAAAUAUCACAAUCAGUGUCUUCAACAGUCUGUAUGUUCAUUCAUGAGUCUCAAACUCAGACACGUAAACUGUAAUUUUGAACAGGAUGCAUCUCUCACCUUGUGGACUUUUAAUCUAUUUCAGGUAAUAAAGUCCAA